GCUCAGGAUGAACGCUAGCUACAGGCUUAACACAUGCAAGUCGAGGGGCAUCAGUUUGGUUUGCUUGCAAACCAAAGCUGGCGACCGGCGCACGGGUGAGUAACACGUAUCCAACCUGCCUCAUACUCGGGGAUAGCCUUUCGAAAGAAAGAUUAAUAUCCGAUAGCAUAUAUUUCCCGCAUGGGUUUUAUAUUAAAGAAAUUCGGUAUGAGAUGGGGAUGCGUUCCAUUAGUUUGUUGGGGGGGUAACGGCCCACCAAGACUACGAUGGAUAGGGGUUCUGAGAGGAAGGUCCCCCACAUUGGAACUGAGACACGGUCCAAACUCCUACGGGAGGCAGCAGUGAGGAAUAUUGGUCAAUGGACGCGAGUCUGAACCAGCCAAGUAGCGUGAAGGAUGACUGCCCUAUGGGUUGUAAACUUCUUUUAUAUGGGAAUAAAGUGGUCCACGUGUGGACUUUUGUAUGUACCAUAUGAAUAAGGAUCGGCUAACUCCGUGCCAGCAGCCGCGGUAAUACGGAGGAUCCGAGCGUUAUCCGGAUUUAUUGGGUUUAAAGGGAGCGUAGGCGGAUUGUUAAGUCAGUUGUGAAAGUUUGCGGCUCAACCGUAAAAUUGCAGUUGAUACUGGCAGUCUUGAGUGCAGUAGAGGUGGGCGGAAUUCGUGGUGUAGCGGUGAAAUGCUUAGAUAUCACGAAGAACUCCGAUUGCGAAGGCAGCUCACUGGAGUGUAACUGACGCUGAUGCUCGAAAGUGUGGGUAUCAAACAGGAUUAGAUACCCUGGUAGUCCACACAGUAAACGAUGAAUACUCGCUGUUUGCGAUAUACAGUAAGCGGCCAAGCGAAAGCAUUAAGUAUUCCACCUGGGGAGUACGCCGGCAACGGUGAAACUCAAAGGAAUUGACGG
rnacentral:rRNA from 1 species